CCUACGGGAGGCAGCAGUGAGGAAUAUUGGUCAAUGGGCGGGAGCCUGAACCAGCCAAGCCGCGUGAGGGAAGAAGGUACAGCGUAUCGUAAACCUCUUUUGUCAGGGAACAAAGGCGGGGACUAGUCCCCGGAUGAGGGUACCUGAAGAAAAAGCAUCGGCUAACACCGUGCCAGCAGCCGCGGUAAUACGGAGGAUGCGAGCGUUAUCCGGAUUUAUGGGGGUUAAGGGGUGCGAAGGCGGCCUGUUAAGUCAGCGGUAAAAGCCCGGGGCUCAACCCCGGCGAGCCGUUGAAACUGGCGGGCUGGAGUUGGAGAGAGGUACGCGGAAUGCGCGGUGUAGCGGUGAAAUGCUUAGAUAUCGCGCAGAACCCCGGUUGCGAAGGCAGCGUACCGGCUCCACACUGACGCUGAGGCACGAAAGCGUGGGUAUCGAACAGGAUUAGAUACCCCAGUAGUC
rnacentral:rRNA from 1 species